rnacentral:SRP_RNA from 11 species
AGAAGGUUGGGUGCUUCGGCUGAGCGUCUUGGCCGCACAGCCUGGCUCCGAGUCGGCAGCCGCUGCACGGGGCGUUGUUUCCCCUCCCCCCCAGCCUCCGCCGCCUUCCGACGAGUCCUUGUCCCACGGGCCAGGCCCAGUCGAGUGGAGAGCCGCUCGGUCUGGGAGGGGAUGACG